UGUUCACUUUAUUGCUAUAUAAUUAUGAUAAUAAAAUAUAAAGAGAAUGAAGAGUUGCAAGGGUAAUAAAUUUUGAGAGCUAUAAUAUAAAAUAAAGAGAAUGAAGAGUUGCGAGGGUAAUAAAUUUGGAGAGCUAUAUAUAAUAUUUGUGUAGCAAAGAGGUGGCCAGCCGAUGGUCAUUAUUUUUGCAAAAAUGCAUGAUUAUUAAAUAAAAUUUUCAUUUUUCUCUAAAUACAUUAGUUGAUUACUUAUUACUUUCAUUGUAUUUUUUUGCUUUUUACAGAAGAAAAAUGUGUAUAAGUUCUAAAAGUUCAUACGGAGCAUGCAAUGAUGGAAAUGGAUAUUGGAAAUUUUCACGGAUCGGAGGUUGAAAUCCAUCUAUUCACAAAGUAAUUGUCGGAGGAAUUCAAAUCGGUGCUUUCACUGAUUUACAUACUUUGGAUGAAGGAUACAUAUCUCUCGAAGG